rnacentral:lncRNA from 1 species
GGCGCGGGGAGGGACGGCACGGGGUACUUUGGAAUUACGUGGUGCGUUUUCAUUGCCAGUUUUUCUUAUCGCGCCAAGAUCGUCUCCACCCCUGAAAAUCCAGCCGUUAGCUUAUGGCCACCAGGAAGGGUGAACAGCAGAAAAGGGGGGCCUAAGAGCCCGGGCUUUUGAUUUUCAAAAGUUCAGGAGUUGAGGGGAAACCGAGUGCGUAGAGACUUGGUGCUGGCGGGAAAGUGGGGGCGACCUAGAUGCCGCGUUAGCCAGGUUUCCCGCCUCUGCAGGGCAGAUGGAAGUUCCCGGAGGACGACCAGGGAGCGUCUGAAAGCCAGGGAGGAAAGCCAUGUGAGCCCAGGGAGACCCGAAGGGACAGCGAGAGCCUGUGCCCAGGCAGCCCGUAAAGCUGCUCUGCACCCGUGCAAGGGGCAGGAGGGCAAAGGAUUCUCAGAGACUGAAGUCGGAAAGUGAAGGUCACCAGGUCAAGAGUCUGCGUGGAUGAACUCUAGAGAGGGCAAAGGGCAAAGGGGACUGAAGGGAAAGGAGGGGCAUGGGGGUAGGAAAGACCGUGGAAGGAGAUGGACACCAUUACUCUAAGUCCACGUAUGAAGACACGAAUGGGGUGACCGCACGUUGUGUACAACCAGAGAAAUGAAAAAUUGUGCUCCAUGUGUGUAUUAUGAAUUGUAGUGCAUUCCGUGUCAGUACAACAAAUUAGAAUUUUUAAAAAUGAAAAAAAAAAAAAAGCCUGCAUGGCUAGACAGGUUGUGCAAAUCCUGCUAAGGUGACUGUAGGAAAUUGUGGGGACUGGUGAGCACACGAAGGUAUGCCCUGUCUAAAGGGACAGUCACCAUGCCUCUGGGUCCAGGGAUUACUACCACUUUCGCACUCAGAGUGACUGGCCCCAGAUACCCAGCUUGUUAGGGGAAAUGCCCAUUUUCAAUACUGGAAACUCAUUAUUAAAAUACUGCGAGGCAAAUAAAACCUAUUGGAUGGCAUCUGAAUCAGAGAAUGCCAGGUGGGACCUGUUGGAUACCCCCAAGACCCCCCACAGUGCCUGAACACUCAGAUAGUCUGGACCCUAUUUAUACUAUGCUUUCCCUGUAUAUACAGAACUAUGGUAAAGUUUAAUUUUUAGGCACACUAAGAGACUAACCACAGUAACUAAUAAUAAA